UACGUAGGGUGCGAGCGUUGUCCGGAAUUACUGGGCGUAAAGAGCUCGUAGGUGGUUUGUCGCGUUGUUCGUGAAAACUCACAGCUUAACUGUGGGCGUGCGGGCGAUACGGGCAGACUGGAGUACUGCAGGGGAGACUGGAAUUCCUGGUGUAGCGGUGGAAUGCGCAGAUAUCAGGAGGAACACCGGUGGCGAAGGCGGGUCUCUGGGCAGUAACUGACGCUGAGAGACGAAAGCGUGGGGAUCAAACAGG
rnacentral:rRNA from 1 species